GCUGUUCCGUGCACAAUCGAGUACAUUAUCCUAAUAUGAUAUGGAUGAAUGAUGUACGGAAUGAACACGAUAGUUCACGGAACGGUGUUUAUCAAAAUGUUAAGAUAAUGUAUGUUAUUAUCUUGGGAAAAUCACAAAGUUGUUGGAUUGCCCAUCGUGUAGUCGGUUUGUCGGUCAGAUGUCGACCAAAAAUUCGAUUCUGGACCUUCAAUCCCAUCGAACCGACGUCAUCGCCGUGGAUCUCAGUUGGACGCAAGACUCACCCUCAUCAAAAAGUAGCAUCAAACCAGUUUCUAUCCAUGCAUGUUUUCCCUCUUCCAUGGCCAAGCAAUUACCCCUUCUUUCAUUACCCGAGCAAGACAGCUGAUUGGUAGAGGGUCAUUUUCAUGUAGAGCAAUUGAAUAAAGUAGAUGAAACUGCAAUAGAAGUUCAUCUUUGAUUUGGCAAGAAUCAGGUGUUAGACUCUAAGAGUAGAGAUCAGCAUCGUUUGAUAGAUACCCAGUAGACUAGGAUAGUGACCACAUUUUGCAAGAUAGUUAGCCUUGAAGAUUGGCCCAGGUAUGCCAGACAACCGAGAUUGAUCUGGGACCAAUGGGGAGUAGAGGUAGCUAGCGAUUUGUAUCCUUAGUCGUUUAAUGAUUGUUUGAGGCCCUGAUAAAGAAAGCUCGAACUAUUGCUCGUAUGCCCUGAUUAGGGUUAUAACCGGAGGCCUUAAGAUAGGUCUAAGAAAUUUAAGCCCUUGUACUAGGUGCUCUCCAUCUUUGAGAGCUAUCAAGGUAUUUUUACCUAGUGCUUGGGUCAGGAGUUCCAUGUUUCCGUUCACCACGGGAAUUCAAUAAGUCAGGACCUUUCACCCCUGGCUGGUGGACGGAACUCGAGCAUGGCGGGCGCAGGCUCCAAGAUGCCAAAUUUCAUAACAAUGGAAAAUAAUCAGAACCAGUUUUUGGUGACAAUGCGUGCUCUAAUCACGCCAACAAGGAGAGGCAAUGUCAUGUAGAGUCUUGUUACGGUAGUUUUUUCUUGCUUUUUCGUUUGAAUUUGGAGCAAUUCAAGAAAGGUUUUCUGAUAAUGACCCAACUUCAAAAAUGAAUUUCAAGUGAGGCCGUUUUAGAUUGGUCAAGAUUGGCCCGAUUGGUGAAAUAAAUUAGCACUUAGCACUGAGUUUAUGAGAAAAUUGCCCAAAUCAUGGUUUACGUGUAUUUGAUAUUAUCGAAUGUGCUAGUUACCUUUAUCUUAUGUCAACGCUAAGCUGAAGUCUUCUCUGGCAAUCCUUUUCGUCCGACAACGAACCUGACAUCCGUUUGUUGACAACGCCUGUUGAAGUUGGGUGAUUUACUCAGACUUUCCGUUGUUAUCUGACAACAUUUCUUGAAUUGCUCCAAAUUCAAAGGAAAAGCAAGAAAAAAAACCAUCGCACAAAGACUCUACAUGACAAUCGGCAGGAUUAGAGCACGCAUGGUCACCUAAAACUGGUUCCGAUUAUUUUCCAUUGUUAUAAAAUUUGCCUUCUUGGAUCUUAGAGGCUGCGCCCGUCAGGCGUCGCUUUUCAUGCUCGCACUCUUCUACUAGAGAGCCAUAUCAAUCCUACAUUGAAGGACUAGCUCAGUCUGCCACCUCAAAUUAGUUGGUAGACCAAAUAUCAUAUCAAGAUUAAAAGGUAGAUAGUAACAAUGGAUCUGUACUUACCUGCAUUCGUGCCCCGAGAAGCCAUGUAGGCUUGGUGAGUGGCCAGAGCCGCUGCACCGAGUUCCUCACGAAGUUCCUCAGUCAUAAUAAGUCCUCCAAUACUACCCGGGCCCUUGGAUCCUCGACUUAACAAUGUUGGUUUUGGAAUAUCGCGAGGAUUACUAAGCCUGUCAUCUUCGCUGGUUCGUGUAGCAAUAUCAUUGGUAUUGACAGACACAGUGGAUUUGAUUUCGAUCUGGGCGUCGCUCAUCUUUUCAUGGAAGACUUUGAAGAAGUUCUGGCUCACUUCCCCAGAAUGGAGGAGGUCAUAGAGGCUCCGUUGAAUCUCUUGAUUGCCACCUUCAAGCAAAGAAUUGCCUAACUCGAUCACUUCGUUAAAUAUCUUGGGCAUCGAAAGUGAGGAAGAGGAGGAUUUGAUGACCAGAUCCACAAUAAGUGAAGACGCGCCUUGGCUGUCCAAGUGACAUUGGACAUCGUGUAAGGUCAUUUGCGCUCUUUGAAUGUACUUGGCUCCCGGACCAUGAGAAAUCACAUUGACAGAAGACGCUAGGUUGACAGAUUUCAGCUUUGGCAAAGGAUACUUGCCAAAAUAUCGAAUCAAGAGGCUUACUCUUAAAGUAUCGCCUUUUUCUCCAUAAUCGGGGUCGAGUGACAUCAUAUCUCGAAGCGUUUGCAAGAUUUUGAUGCAAAGACCGUCUUGCUUUUCUUCAAGAAGCUUGGAAGUAUUCUUAAUAUUCACCUGAUGAAGCCACCAUUUUCACAUUUGCGUCGAGGCUCUGUUCCCGAAGGAAAGAGGAGCUCGGGCCGAUAGAGAACAUCCACAAGGACAGAUAAUUCCGCCUCUACUAGAGCCUUCAAAU